rnacentral:tRNA from 1 species
CGGGGUGUGGCGCAGUUGGCUAGCGCGCCUGCUUUGGGAGCAGGAGGUCGGCGGUUCAAGUCCGCCCACCCCGACCA